GUCCACGCCGUAAACGAUGGACACUAGGUGUGGGAGGUGUCGACUCCUUCCGUGCCGAAGCUAACGCAUUAAGUGUCCCGCCUGGGGAGUACGGCCGCAAGGCUAAAACUCAAAGGAAUUGACGGGGGCCCGCACAAGCAGCGGAGCAUGUGGUUUAAUUCGACGCAACGCGAAGAACCUUACCUGGGCUUGACAUGUUCCUGACAGGUGUGGAAACACACUCUUCCUUCGGGACAGGAUCACAGGUGGUGCAUGGCUGUCGU
rnacentral:rRNA from 1 species